rnacentral:rRNA from 1 species
UACGAAGGGGGCUAGCGUUGUUCGGAAUCACUGGGCGUAAAGGGCGCGUAGGCGGCUUUAUAAGUCGGGGGUGAAAGCCUGUGGCUCAACCACAGAAUUGCCUUUCGAUACUGGAGAGCUUGAGUCCGGGAGAGGUGAGUGGAACUGCGAGUGUAGAGGUGAAAUUCGUAGAUAUUCGCAAGAACACCAGUGGCGAAGGCGGCUCACUGGCCCGGUAUUGACGCUGAGGUGCGAAAAGCGUGGGGGAGCAAACAGG